rnacentral:rRNA from 1 species
GCGAGCGCCGGGCGGGGUGGGCGGGGAAUGCGGGGGGGGGAAGCGUUGUGCGGAAUUCCGGGGCGUAAAGGGGGGGUAGGGGGCCUGCUAAGUCGGACGGGAAAUCCAUCGGCUCAACCGAGGAACUGCGUCCGAUACUGGUGGGCUUGAAUCCGGGAGAGGGAUGUGGAAUUCCAGGUGUAGCGGUGAAAUGCGUAGAUAUCUGGAGGAACACCGGUGGCGAAGGCGGCAUCCUGGACCGGUAUUGACGCUGAGGCGCGAAAGCUAGGGGAGCAAACGGGAUUAGAUACCCCUGUAGUC